GAAACCGAGUCUUAAUUGGGCGUUAAGUUGCAGGGUAUAGACCCGAAACCCGGUGAUCUAGCCAUGGGCAGGUUGAAGGUUGGGUAACACUAACUGGAGGACCGAACCGACUAAUGUUGAAAAAUUAGCGGAUGACCUGUGGCUGGGGGUGAAAGGCCAAUCAAACCGGGAGAUAGCUGGUUCUCCCCGAAAGCUAUUUAGGUAGCGCCUCGUGAAUUCAUCUCCGGGGGUAGAGCACUGUUUCGGCUAGGGGGCCAUCCCGGCUUACCAACCCGAUGCAAACUGCGAAUACCGGAGAAUGUUAUCACGGGAGACACACGGCGGGUGCUAACGUCCGUCGUGAAGAGGGAAACAACCCAGACCGCCAGCUAAGGUCCCAAAGUCAUGGUUAAGUGGGAAACGAUGUGGGAAGGCCCAGACAGCCAGGAUGUUGGCUUAGAAGCAGCCAUCAUUUAAAGAAAGCGUAAUAGCUCACUGGUCGAGUCGGCCUGCGCGGAAGAUGUAACGGGGCUAAACCAUGCACCGAAGCUGCGGCAGCGACGCUUAUGCGUUGUUGGGUAGGGGAGCGUUCUGUAAGCCUGCGAAGGUGGCCUGUGAG
rnacentral:rRNA from 1 species